UUUUAAGCAACGUACGAAGAACGGACCCCAGGAGACAAAGUUCCUACUCGUGUCCUGACGUCCUCCUCUCGUGACAACACCCUUCAGGAUCCCUCAAUUAUCCUCCUGUGUUGGCUUCCCUCAUGGAUUUCUCCUGGUUCCUCUCAAGUCGGUUCCCCUCCUCUGGACCCCAGCCUCCUUCGGACAUAAACUGGUUCCUCCCGCUGAUCUGGAUCCCUGGAUUCCUCGGUGCUGCUCGGACCCACUUCUGCCUCCGCUCUCUGGUCUCCCGGACACCUGUGGCUCCAUCAUCAGGCAAACGAUGAGUCCACAUCGCCUCCUCCCCGGUUUGGUUUCCCCGUUCAGUGAUCAACCCGGUUCCCCGUCUUCCUGGUUCCCGCUCGAGCUCCCAUCUGCAGAGGCAGAUCUCUCCCCCCGUGUUUCUAACCCAAAUAAACCUUUUACAAAUCUA